rnacentral:lncRNA from 1 species
CAGGCUGUUUCCAAAAUGCAAACUAUGCAUAAUGGAUUGUGGACAACUGCAUGCAUUUUAGGCAAAUUGCCACCAAGAACCACAUAAUCCAGCCAGAUCAUAUAAAUGUACCCAGUAUUAAUAAGCCCUCAUAUAACAUACGCUGAAACCUGGAGUAAUUCUGAAUUAAAAAAAAAUUCUGACUUUUUCUGACUUCAUAAAAGAAAACUUAUUUGCUUAUAGUGAUAUUUUUAUGGCAAAACUGCAUGUAUGUGAGCUAAAGAAAAUCCAUUUCUGCUGUUGAAGAAGGACAGAUGAAACAGAGUGAUCUGGUCCAACUAUAGGGUGUUUAAACAUACAAAAAAUUGGGGUUUUGAUUUUUUACUCCAUAGAAUUUAAAUAAACCUCUCCAAAUAUUAAAGGGUCUGCAGACUGGGAAUGCUGGUGGGAAACCAUUUGUCGACCAUCAAAUGCAAAAUGUUCAGAACUUGCAUGCUCCUCUGAUCCUCUGUUUCAGUGCAGAAAAUAACUGAACCACUUGUGAGAAGAUUGCGUGAAGAUACCCAACAAAUUGGAUGAUAGAAAUUAGAGCAGCAAUUGUUCUGAAGUCCCGCUGUCACUGCCAAUAUCCAUUUCCUCACUGUUUUCAGUCUGCAGGCGAACAACAGGGAAUUCUGAAUGGAGCCCUUAUAAAAUGGAUAGAGAUGAAGAAGUAGCAGCAGCAGUGGUAAAAUACAUAAAGAUUCACUGACUUCCUGGCAAUCCCCUCAAACAAUACGUGCAAAUCCACUGAAAGGAUGGCACCCUGCACUGGCAUCUCAGUAUUUGACUCUAGGGAAAUGGUAUUUAGAAUCUGCCAUAUAAUUGUCAACCGAAAGCAGUGUUGCUCUGAUCACCAACAAAGAGGACCAUGAACAGAAAAGAAAGACUUCAGGUUCAACUGGUUCAAAUAUGUACCCUAGUAACAAUCUAGGAGGCAGGAUCCAUCGUUUGCUACUCCUAUUUAUUAUUUUAUUCAAGCACUUUAUUAAUUUAUUACUCUUGUAAGAAACUUUAAAAGCCGGACAUAAAUUGUUUUAUACCUCUUGUCUAUAGCGG